rnacentral:rRNA from 1 species
UGGGGAAUUUUGCGCAAUGGGGGAAACCCUGACGCAGCAACGCCGCGUGAGUGAUGAAGGCCUUCGGGUCGUAAAGCUCUGUCAGUGGGGAAGAAAUGAGAUUGGCUAAUAUCCAAUUUUCUUGACGGUACCCACAAAGGAAGCACCGGCUAACUCCGUGCCAGCAGCCGCGGUAAUACGGAGGGUGCAAGCGUUGUUCGGAUUUAUUGGGCGUAAAGCGCGUGUAGGCGGUUUCUUAAGUCUGAUGUGAAAGCCCUGGGCUCAACCCAGGAAGUGCAUUGGAUACUGGGAGACUUGAAUACGGGAGAGGGUAGUGGAAUUCCUAGUGUAGGAGUGAAAUCCGUAGAUAUUAGGAGGAACACCGGUGGCGAAGGCGGCUACCUGGACCGAUAUUGACGCUGAGACGCGAAAGCGUGGGGAGCAAACA